rnacentral:rRNA from 1 species
GAUGAACGCUGGCGGCGUGCCUAAUACAUGCAAGUCGAGCGAACAGAUGAGGAGCUUGCUCCUCUGACGUUAGCGGCGGACGGGUGAGUAACACGUGGAUAACCUACCUAUAAGACUGGGAUAAUUUCGGGAAACCGGAGCUAAUACCGGAUAAUAUAUUGAACUGCAUGGUGCAAUAGUGAAAGAAGCUUUUGCUGUCACUUAUAGAUGGAUCCGGGCCGCAUGAGCUAGUUGGUAAGGUAACGGCUUACCAAGGCAACGAUGCGUAGCCGACCUGAGAGGGUGAUCGGCCACACUGGAACUGAGACACGUUCCAGACUCCUACGGGAGGCAGCAGUAGGGAAUCUUCCGCGAUGGGCGAAAGCCUGACGGAGCAACACCGCGUGAGUGAUGAAGGUCUUCGGAUCGUAAAACUCUGUUAUUAGGAAAGAACAAAUGUGUAAGUAACUAUGCACGUCUUGACGGUACCUAAUCAAAAAGCCACGGCUAACUACGUG